UACGUAGGGGGCAAGCGUUGUCCGGAAUUAUUGGGCGUAAAGAGCGCGUAGGCGGUCCGGUAAGUCAGCUGUGAAAGUCAAGGGCUCAACCCUUGAAAGCCGGCUGAUACUGCCGGACUAGAGUCCGGAAGAGGCGAGUGGAAUUCCCGGUGUAGCGGUGAAAUGCGCAGAUAUCGGGAGGAACACCAAUGGCGAAGGCAGCUCGCUGGGACGGUACUGACGCUGAGGCGCGAAAGCAUGGGGAGCAAACAGG
rnacentral:rRNA from 1 species